ensembl:miRNA
GUCGAGGCCGUGGCCCGGAAGUGGUCGGGGCCGCUGCGGACGGAAGGGCGCCUGUGCUUCGUCCGCUCGGCGGUGGCCCAGCCAGGCCCGCGGGA